rnacentral:tRNA from 2 species
GCUUUCUUAGCUCAGUAGGUAGAGCUCUUGAUUUGUAAUCAAGUGGUCGUCAGUUCAAGUCUGACAGAAAGCU